rnacentral:misc_RNA from 1 species
AACGCAUAUUGCGCCCUCUGGUAUUCCGGGGGGCAUGCCUGUCCGAGCGUCAUUACUACCUUCAAGCACGGCUUGUGUGUUGAGCAUUUUGUUCCAUUCUCAGUGAACAAGGCUUGAAAUGCAGUGGCGAUGCCUUAAACUGGUUGCCUGAACGUAUAGGGCUAUGUCACACGUUCUUGUGGCUCCAGUUGUGCAUCUUGUUCCAACUUCUAAAAAAUCUUGAAUUGACCUCGGAUCAGGUAGGAAUACCCGCUGAACUUAA